rnacentral:rRNA from 1 species
UACGUAGGGGGCAAGCGUUGUCCGGAAUCAUUGGGCGUAAAGAGCGUGUAGGCGGUCCGGUAAGUCCGCUGUGAAAGUCGGGGGCUCAACCCUCGAAUGCCGGUGGAUACUGUCGGGCUAGAGUGCGGGAAGAGGCGAGUGGAAUUCCUGGUGUGAGCGGUGAAAUGCGCAGAUAUCGGGAGGAACACCUAUGGCGAAGGCAGCUCGCUGGGACGGUUACUGACGCU